GCCUUUCGCGCCCUUUCGCGCUCCGUCUGAGGCGGCGUGUGAGGCGCAGCAAAAUGGUGUCUUGAAGUAAAAAAGUUUGGUAUUUCCAGAGAAAUGUGACACUUCUAGAAUGGGGAGCAGGCGGCUCUCUGAAAAGUGCAUUAAUGUGAAGAUGUAACAGUUCCUUACAAGUCAUGUCGAAGGAAGUGAAACUGCAAGAGCAGGAGAUUCUUCUGGGUAUGAGAAGUGAAGUCCUAGGCCAAAAAUACUUCAUUAGGUUAACACAGAGGAAGUGUGUUCAUGCUGUGAAAACUUGCUUGUCUGAGGAAGAAGAAAUCUGUAAAACACACAAGUGAGCAGGAGAUCAGUCAUCAUAAACUCACAUUUUCCUGUCCUAAGACUUUUAAGAAAUAUUAAAAAAUACGCUGCUGUUCAUAUAUUAAAAUUAUCAAAACAAA